rnacentral:rRNA from 1 species
GGAUUAGAUACCCUGGUAGUCCACGCCGUAAACGAUGUCUACUAGUUGUCGGUUGUCUUGUACGACGGGUAACGCAGCUAACGCGAUAAGUAGACCGCCUGGGGAGUACGGCCGCAAGGUUAAAACUCAAAGGAAUUGACGGGGGCUCACACAAGCGGUGGAGCAUGUGGCUUAAUUCGAAGCAACGCGAAGAACCUUACCCAGGUUUGACAUACAUGGAUGCAAUUUGGGGAUAACCCGAAACGCUGCUCUUCGGAGUGAAACAUGUACAGGUGUUGCAUGGCCGUCGUCAGCUCGUGCUG